CUCUCAAUAGCAUAGUGGUAUUGCGCCGGACUGUAAAUUGUUAACUGUCUACACCUCCCUUCCGAUUGGAAGUUCUCAAAUCCGUAGGUCCCCUGUUCGAAUCAGGGUUGAGAGA